UUCAAAAGUUGAGAGAAGAUAUUACAUCAAGAAAAAAACAUUUAUGAUUAAAGUUUAUAAUGAAAUUAUUAAAAAAAAUCAGAAUGUCAUAAUAAAAUGGUUCGAUUUCACCAUUAAAGGCCCGUUCUCUGCUUUUUUUUCUCUUAAAAGUAAGGAAGAACAGCCAUCAUUUCAGAAUUUUUUCCACCAUCAAAGAAGUGCUUUUUGGCUGAUGGAGAAGUUAAAAAUUUUAACUUUUCUUCAGCCAAAAGUCUGUUUGGCUGAUAAUUCCCCAUUUUAACCUGUCUUCUCCCCCAAAAAAGUUUCUCUUCUCUGGUUCUUUGGAGCUUCCUAGAAGGUAAGUAAUUCGUAAUCUUUUUCUCUGUUUCUGAAAUUUCACUUCCCCAAUUCACAACCCUAACAUGUUUCUCAUUAUUCAAUCUCAAAUCUCAAUUUGUGAUUGAAAAUUUCCAUUUAUUUGGUUGUUUCGAACGAAAUUAAUCAUUUGCGGACUAAUAAAAUCAUCUGAUCUUGAGGUGGAAACAACAAAGUUGGUUGCUUUUUGAGUUCGUAUGAGGUGGGUUUGAAUUUGGAUUUAGUGUUUGGAUUGAAGGAAAAUUGAUAAGAGUUUCAAUAUUCCUUUCUUUUUUUCUCUUUUCAAUUUAAAAUUCUGGGUUUGAUUUCAAAUAGUCAAUUUCCUUAGCUCAAUCUCAGUCUGCAACUCCGUUGACCAGCCUUCAAUCAUGGCAAAUUCCGUGAAUUCAAAUGAUUUUCUGAUGAACUCCAAAUCAUCAUCGUCAAGGAAACAAAAGUUCUUCUUUGGUUUAAACUGUGAAAUUUGAUUUUGGAAUCGGAAUUCAAAAACGUUGAUGGAUAUUAAUGAAAGUCCUCUCUAUGUGCAUCUCAAUCCUGCAAUCAAUCCUACGCAAAAAGAUCUUCCAGUCACCAUUUAUGAAAGUGUUUUAGGUAGCUUUAAUAACCUUUACAGUUCCUCAUUAUUCUUUGGAACUUGGAAAUUAGCAAUCUAACUGAGGUUAUAACAUCAGCAGAGUUUCACCCUGCCCACUGUAAUAUGCUAGCAUAUAGUAGUUCAAAGGGCUCAAUUCGCCUCAUUGAUUUGCGGCAAUCGGCUUUGUGUGAUUCUCAUGCCAAAUUGCAAGCGUUUUACCAUUUUUAGUUUCUUUUGUUGAAUUUACUGAGAUUUGCACCAAAAAUUGAACUAUUGUUAUUAUCCUAAAGUUUAGAUUUAAACAAAAUAUGUUAUGUGAAAGUGAGGCUAUUUCAAUUGUUGAUGUUUUGUCUGUUUGUGCGUCAAUUGUUGAUGUUCUGAGACUAAUGUAUUCAUUCAUGAAAAUUUACUGGUAUAUGCGCAUAAGAUUGAAGCAGAUAAUCGAGAUUGUUUAUUUUGUAUCUUA